rnacentral:rRNA from 1 species
UAUAGAAGGAGGGGUUUCAAACAGCCUUAAUGUUUUGUCGGGGGCAUGAGAAGGAGGGGUGGAGAGCGGAUGGCAAGCGCAGGAGGCGGGCUCCGGAGGUGCCCUCGCGGCCUCGCGUGCGGACUAGAGGGGCGGAGGAGGAGGGCCGUGGCGCCGGGGCCGAGGAUCGGGCGGAGCGCUAGCCCCCUGCUCCGUGCUCAUCCUCCCGCUCCCACGCUCCUCUACGUCUCCCUGGCUCCGCAGAGCCGCCGCCGACCCCCGCGGCCGCUUUCCUUCGCCUAUCCGCUCCGCUACCUGUCCAGGAGGGGCAGCUGCAGGACCCCCAAGAGGCCGCCGGCGCUCUCCCUGGCCUAGCGGCGGCCCUUCGUCGGCCUCCACGGGGCGAGGCCGCCGCCUAGGUGGCGGUACAGGUUCCCGUUCAACAGGCUACCUCUUAGCCUAUGACUGUCACUUCUUAGUCUAGAGUCACCAAGACUACCUCUCCUAUGUAGCACCUAAAGUACCAAGACAUCGAACGCUCCGUUACUCAAAAAGACACUUCAACUACUGCUAAUGUAUGUUCUGCUAAAGUUAGAGACACCCGAUUCGCCAGUUCAAGGUAUAAUACUUAUACGAGAACUAGACUAUAACCUACAGCUCAGAAGUGUACCACUAUACAAGUGUCUUCUCGUCUUACUUGAAUAACUUAGUCGACGACUCUACGAAAUACCUAACUAAGUACAAGCUAUAUAAGAAUGUUCAUUUCCCAACCGACGUUACAACCUAUUUAUGUUCUUAAUACUGAAACCGUCUACAGGUUCUCACGUGACGUCGCCGGUCGGUACGGAAGGUCAACCGGUCAGCCUGUAAGGGGCGAGAUCAUUACAGUUUUAAAUGACGGGUUUCACACUUCUAGAGAUGAUAGGCUCUAGGUUUAUAGUUUCGUCAUAGGAAAAAUGAAUCUUAUAUUCGUACACGGAAACUUGAGUUUACGGAUGUAAGACUAGAGGACAACCAUCUAUUUGACACUUCACAGUCGUAUGAAAUGUCAGUAGAACAUAGAAAGCGAACGUUGUUAUGCAAGUCAAUCUUACAAAACUUAAAUAGUUAAUGUGACUUAACUGUGGGAAGUAUUAAUCAGUAUAGUACUCGGUUUUAUUAUAAAUAGUAAGAGAGGGUGUAGACAUCAAUAGAACUAUACAAAAACGAAAAUAACCUUGAUUGGAGUUGGUCUUCUAUCAAUUUUGUGACAGUGUAAAUCUGACCAAACCUCUUACUAAAAAGUCCACUAUCUGUUCUUUUGACGAAGAAAAUUUUAAAAGUGUACAAGCUCCUCAAUAUAAAGAGGAAACCUUUUUACUCCCAACGGAUCGAGACAAGAGAAGAACUGAGAAUACAUCUGUAACUACCUCGAAUGAAGCCCUGUUGCAAAGGAGUGAACAAAGACUACUGCAUGGGUGUAAACUUCGGGGUCUUUGGCAGUGUCGUCAUGCAGGGGUUCCAAAAACCGAAGUUUGAAGUAUUCGGUAUUGUUCAAGCUUCUGACUUCCACGUUUUCCAAGUGUCGUCUCAACAGACUAUGCAGCGCGGUGUGUCGUGAAGGUUCGACGAGUAGACACGUGCACCGCGUCAAAUUGAACCAAGUCAACCAAUGGGCACCGAAGUGGCUUUGGCUGGACUGGGGACCGACUAGAGGGAACAGGACGCAAAAGCGAGAGCGGACUGCAAGACUAAACUACGAACACCAAACAAAUCACAUCAUCCAAGGAUAGUACAAGAAAUAUAUGAGUAAUAUAAACUCAAACCGUCAACAAUUUUCUUCCGUCAAGUAUUGUCACAAUACAGAGACGACACAUAAAAAGUAAAACAAAAUGUAAUCCAAGGAAACGGUUUUACACUACCAUUACCAUUAGACUUACUUUGUAAGCUAGGCCGAUAAGAAUAAGAAGUGGACGUUGACUCAAACAUACCUUUCAAAUGGGGGUCU